AACGGCCAUACCAUGCUGAAUAUACUGGUUCUCGUUCGAUCACUGAAGUCAAGCAUUCAUCGGGUGCGGUCAGUACUUGGGAGGGUGACCACCUGGGAACACCGCGUGCCGU